AGCGACUGCAACCAGGAAGGAAUCCAAUGCGUAGCGGAAGUAGAAACGCUUCGUCUGAAUGACAGUGUUCUGGCCUAUCUGCAGAGAGGCGAACUGUCUUCCUUACAGCUGGCUGAGGAGACACAUGAGAUGGGGCAUCCAAAUGACACAGGCCAUCCAUCAAAGCAAUUCUGAGAUGAAAGAUCAAGGAGAUGAACAUGCUUUCCAAUGAGACAGUCGAGUAUGUGGCACAGCUCAUCCUGUGGUCUAUUAAACAUUGUCAGCUCUGACAGGAUGAAAGACGCAAG